UAGAGCGGGUCGUAAGUGGCAUAUAAUGCAGUGUGGCAAGCGCAUGUCUGCACCUCCCUUUGGCAAAAACCUGUUCCGCGCUUCGCCCGGGAAAUAUGUCGCCGCGCGCGCCGUGACUCGCAAUCGCUUCGUUUCCAUCACUGUUUCGUUACGCCAAAUUAUUAUUUAUGUUUAUUUUUUUAUUAUGACCUUGUUAACAUCGGAAAAAGUACGUAGAUGUUGCCAGUAUCUGAUUCAUUAUCUAAAGAUUAUAAAUUAUUGUGUGAUUUUUCGUAAUUCUAACGUGUGACGAUAGACAUAGAAUCUAUUAUCAGAUGUCUUCAACACGGAAUUAGAGAAAGGUGGCAAACGAGCAAGCGGGCACCUGAAUCCGCCGGAAUAGCGAAGCGAACGCUGCCCAUAAUCCGCAGAAAUACAAGCGUUCCUGUGUCCUUGGAGAUCCUGGAACCGUCGUCGUCACUUGAAGAUGACCACCGAGGGGAUUUUGGGUCAUAUUCCACGUAACCAGCCUUCCCUCAAGAGGACAGGGUAUCUUUGGUAGAUUCUCCCGACAACAAAAAUGAUAAACCAGCAGACGUACUUAAUGCGUUGGAAAUGGGUCUUCUGGAAGCUGGUGUAGCAGAGAAGUACCUAAGAUUCAUGUAAAAGCACUAAGGGACCAAGAACUAAGAACAUAAAGAAGUACAUUUAAAUUAUUUCUUGUAUCUAUCAUAGUUAAGGUAUAAUUCUUGCUGUUGUAAACAUUAAAAGACUUUAUUUAUAUUCGUU